UUGGGCCUUUCAGGUCCAGCUUGGGGCCCUUGACGUCCACCUGGGGGCCCUUGAGGUCCACUUUGGGCAUCUUGAAACUGGGCAUCUCCACCUUGGGCAGGUGCCCUUUGAGGCCGGCUCCCUCCGGCACAGGGCCCUCUGGGAGUUUCACGUCCACUUGGCCAGCCUGGACCUCCAGGUCAGCAGAAGGGGGCUGUAUGCUCAGGUCAGUGGCCUUGAGGUCCCCCUGCAUGGAGGGGAGGCUCACGUCGGCCUCCACCUUCG
rnacentral:lncRNA from 1 species